rnacentral:misc_RNA from 1 species
UGAUCAAUAAGGCUCUGCCUUGCGUUGAGUCUUCCUUCCCAGGAGGACUCCAAACCCCUGGGCGUUUGCUGUGCCUGAAUCCACAACACACUGUGGCGAAGAGCGCGGCGGCUGCCAGUAUGCGUCUC